AUUGAACGCUGGCGGCAGGCCUAACACAUGCAAGUCGAACGAGUGGCGGACGGGUGAGUAAUGUCUGGGAAACUGCCCGAUGGAGGGGGAUAACUACUGGAAACGGUAGCUAAUACCGCAUACCAUCGGAUGUGCCCAGAUGGGAUUAGCUAGUAGGUGGGGUAACGGCUCACCUAGGCGACGCUCCCUAGCUGUUCCGAGAGGAUGCCCGGCACCACUGGAACUGCGACACGGUCCGGACUCCUACGGGGGGCAGCAGUGGGGAAUAUUGCAAAAUGGGCGCAAGCCUGAUGCAGCCAUGCCGCGUGUAUGAAGAAGGCCUUCGGGUUGUAAAGUACUUUCAGCGAGGAGGCGUUACUCGCAGAAGAAGCACCGGCUAACUCCGUGCCAGCAGCCGCGGUAAUUC
rnacentral:rRNA from 1 species